GACGAACGCUGGCGGCGUGCUUAACACAUGCAAGUCGAACGGAAAGGCCCUGCUUUUGUGGGGUGCUCGAGUGGCGAACGGGUGAGUAACACGUGAGUAACCUGCCCUUGACUUUGGGAUAACUUCAGGAAACUGGGGCUAAUACCGGAUAGGAGCUCUUGCUGCAUGGUGGGGGUUGGAAAGUUUCGGCGGUUGGGGAUGGACUCGCGGCUUAUCAGCUUGUUGGUGGGGUAGUGGCUUACCAGGGCUUUGACGGGUAGCCGGCCUGAGAGGGUGACCGGCCACAUUGGGACUGAGAUACGGCCCAGACUCGUACGGUAGGCAGCAGUGGGGAGUAUUGCACAAGAGGCGGAAGCCAGAUGCAACAACGCCGCGUGCGGGAUGACGGCCUUCGGGUUGUGAACCGCUUUCGCCUGUUACGAAGCGUGAGUGACGGUAAUGGGUAAAGAAGCACCGGCUAACUACGUG
rnacentral:rRNA from 1 species